AUGGAGUUAAGUUAUGGUAGACUGUAUGUUUUCAAAACAUUUAGAAGUUGUGUUGCUACUCUAUG
rnacentral:tRNA from 1 species